CGCUGUGAAGCUGAAGCAGGAUAUAGCGUUAGCCUUUUAAGCUAGAGAUUGGUGGCUCCUAACUACCCCCAGCGA
rnacentral:tRNA from 1 species